UUGAAGCCAGUUAAGCCACUGUGCUUUCCUUCUCAUUGGGCCUGGUGUGAAAUGGCUGGGAAAAGCAGCCUCCUUGGUAGUGUAUGUGCCUGUUGCAUGUAUGGAUUGCUCUAAGGGACUUUGGAGACAGCC